CGAUGCUGGAGAUGCUACUGCUGCUGGAGAUGCUGCUGCUGCUGGAGAUGCUGCUGCUGCUGGAGAUGCUGCUGCUGCUGCUGGAGAUUGCUGCUGCUGCUGCUGGACGCGCGAUCUCUACACAAGACAACGCUGGACAUCAGGACCAUGUACAACACAACGUGCUGGAGGAAAUCAGCGAGUCAGUCAACAUCUGCGGAGGAAACUUGACAAGACGUUUCGGGUUCGGUCAAGUCAGAACUCAAAAGCUGUCUCCCUGGAGGAUGAAGCGUCCCAAGCUAAGUUAUCACAUUAAUGCUCCACAUAGCACUAAUCUACUCUAGUAUCGUUUUAACUCUAAUUCUCUAGUACACAUGCAUUUUAUACAUAGUCAUCCACACAUUGCAUGGAAGUGCUGAAGCGUCCCAAGCUAAGUUAUCACAUUAAUGCUCCACAUAGCACUAAUCUACUCUAGUAUCGUUUUAACUCUAAUUCUCUAGUACACAUGCAUUUUAUACAUAGUCAUCCACACAUUGCAUGGAAGUGCGGUGGUAAGUAUUUUGUCAGUUACAUUGUGGUCAUAGCAUGUAUACAUAUAUAUAUAUAUAAAGGAGGCAACUUGGUUUCUCACUCUCGCAUGUUUCCCUACUAUUCACCCGCUUUCCACAUCAUCCAGUGACACCAAGCAUAGUUUACAGUGGACAAUUAACCUAUCAAAUGCAAGCAGGUUUUUAGGAAGCCGGAAGACAACAGUGACAACGUGCAAAUUGAAGCUAGACAACAAUGGAGGCCACGGCGCUGUGCAGAGGAAAUGGACACGACAUUCCAGUUUGGGUCGUUCGGUCAGGAACCUUCAGAUUCCAGAGAAUUGCUGGCACUUCAUGAAUCUGUGGUUCCGAAGGACAUCACUCAGCCCUCAGCAACUCAGGUAUCAGAAGAACUCACAUGAUGCUCUACAUGGAUGAUGAAGUGAAGCUACGGAAACAUAUCUAAGUGGAUCAGGAAGGAUCUCUGGGUAACAUGGAUAGGUGACACCUCUUCAGACAAAUUUAAGUAUUCCUUUAAUUGUUACACAUGCACAAAUAUGCACAUGACAUGCGUCAACCAAAACAUUGCACUAUUUUACAUCGUGACAACACUAUAAAGCAACCACACAACAUUGUCCAAAGUAUUAAGUAUGUUAAACUAUGUUUAUAACCUAAUGAGCAAUCAUAGAAUUAACAAUGUAUGUGUUAGCAGAAUGUAAUUUUAGCAUAUAUUUAGUAUAGUUUAAACACCCCCUGGUCUAUCCAAUAAGCAUGUUAGGAUAUUCGGAGGAAACCGGUAGCAACCCAGAACAGAGUUCACAGCAUGACACCAACUUGCAUACUUCACAAAGACAACAAUGGAGGUCGUCGAGAUCUCAACUGUGGAGGAAAUGGUCAGACAAUGCUUUGGGUUUGGUCGGCUUGGACCGUAGGAAUUGAGCUGGAGGUGGGAAGGGUUUACUAACGUUUUGGGGACAUUGUCAAUGAAAAAACAUUACGUUUGCUCUGGGGUCUAUGUAUAUAAUACAAUGCAACUCUGUAAGUAUGUUACUGGAUAGGUCUGUUUGUUCGUUAUGAAUGGUGCAAUUGUAAUAUUGCUCAAUGGUUUAUAAUGGUACUUUAUUGUCACUACUUGUCCUUUGUCAGGUGAUGCCCUCAAACCACGCUCCUGAUCUGAUACCGAUACCUCCUCGACACAGUCUGUGGCGGAGAGCCGAAGAUAAGAAGGUCCUGUGGCGGAUGAGCCGAAGUUAGAAGGUCUGUGGCGGAUGAGCCGAAGUUAGGUCUGUGGCGGAUGAGCCAAAGUUCAUCCAACGUUUUAGAAGAAAUGAAAUGCUGUUUCCUUGCAAGGAUGAGGUGAAGCGACAGGUCCAAAGCUAAGUUAUCACUUAAUGCCAGUAUUAAGCUUAAGCUUUAUCUCUAACUGUUAGUACACUUACUCAAAUAUACGAUGUAUAAAAAACUUUUUUAUACAUUGUCCUUGGAAACGUGGUGGUAAGUAUUUUGUCAGUCACAAUGCUGUCAUACCCAUAUGUAACAUACCCAUACAUUGUAUACAUUGCAGUGGGCAAUUAACUUGUUAAACAAGCACGUUUUUAGGAUGAGCCGGCGGUGGAAGCCAGAAGACAACAGUGACCGUGCAAACUCCAUGCUAGACAACAAUGGAGGCCAGGGUGCGGUGCAAAACGACAGACGACGUUCCGGUUUGGGUCAAGUUCGUUGGGAAACUUCUUCAAAUUCCAGAGGUAUUCAGUGAAACUGGUGAUGUGUUGAUGUCCUCCACCGCUGCUCCGCUGCUCUUGGCCACUUGGUGCAACGCCUGAUCCACUCGCGCUCCGAAGACCAUCACAGCCCUCGAACUCCAGGACGCCCACCUUGCAACCCACCCAGAGCCGCCUCCAAGCUACAUGGAAGUUAUCAGAGGAAACUCGCAUGCUCUUUACAUGGCGAUGAGGUGAAGCUCCGAUCAGGAAGGAUCUCUGGGGAACAUGGAUAGGUGACACUGGGUCAGAACCCCCUUUUCAGGCAAAUCUAGGUAUUCCUUUAAUUGUUAUCUUGUUACACAUACACAUAUUCCACAUAACACACGACCAUGUAAAAUAGUGCUAUGUGAUGGUUGUGACAAAUUGUAACAAAUACUACAAAGUAAUCACACAACAUUGUCCAAAAUAUUUGUUAAACUAUUUGUAAAAACUCUGUUCCUCUCAAACCCUAUGUAACAAUUACACGCCCAAGGAGCAAUCAUAGAAUUAACAAAGUAUGUUAGAAGAAUGUAAAUUUUAGCAUAUGUAAUCUAGUUUAUACACCCUGGUAUAUUUUAUGCAUGUGGACCAGUGCUCUUGUAUUCUUACCAGUGCCAUUCCCCAGAGCCACAGUGUGACAACAACUUGCAAACUCCAGAAAGACAACAAUGGAGGUCGAGAUUGUAAUUGUAACGUAAUUUGAUAUUCAUUGUUAUUGAGCUUCGCUUAAUUGUAAUAUAACUAGUUUAAAUGUAACAAAACUAAUUGGAUUUAUUCAUUGUUUAGUUAACUGAAUUAAUGUAUGUUAUUGGAUAGGUCUGUAUUAUUGCCAAGCAGUGUUCAUUGUUAAUAUUAUUGAAUAGCAGAAUUGUAAUUAUUGAAUAGCAGAAUUGUAACGUAACUUGAUAUUCAUUUGUUAGUGAGCUUGGCUUGUAAUAUAACUAAGUGAGCUUGGCUUGUAAUAUAACUAGUUUUAUUGUAACAAAACUAAUUGGAUUUAAUUGUAAAUGUCUUUUCGUUAUGAACUUUGAGCAAUAUUAUGGUACUUCAUUUUCACC